AGGAUUAUAGUUUAAAUUAAACAUUUAAUUUGCACUUAAAAAAAAUUAAUUAAUAAUUAAUUAAUCUUA
rnacentral:tRNA from 1 species